AUGGCGGCCGCCGCUGCCGCCUGCCGCCUUCUCCGGCUGGCACCGCGCCGUCUCCGGAGCCCGAGGCAUUCCCUCUUUCCUACGCCACUCGCUCUCUCCUCGGGUUGGCGCCGCUACUGCGCCGCCGCGCCCCCGGUCGCGGCCGCGGCGACGCCGACGGGGGACGCCGUGGGGGAGUUCCGCCGGAGGAUCAGGGUGGCGGAAGUGAAGGGCGGAGAGGACCAAGGCGCCGCUUGGGUCGGGAAGGAGCUUACCGUGCGCGGGUGGGUGCGCACCUGCCGCGCCCAGAGGACCGUGACAUUCGUCGAGGUUAAUGAUGGAUCUUGCUUGUCCAAUAUGCAAUGUGUGUUAACUCCUGAAACAGAAGGCUAUGACCAGAUAGACUCUAUCAAUACAGGGGCCUCAGUGUUAGUGGAGGGAGUUGUAGCAAGCAGCCAAGGUGGUAAGCAGAAAGUGGAGCUAAAGGUUUCAAAGAUCAUUGUGAUUGGGGAGAGUGAUCCCACAUCUUUUCCUAUACAGAAGAAACGAGCAUCAAGAGAAUUUCUGAGGACUGUGGCACAUCUCCGUCCUCGGACAAACACUUUUGGUGCAGUGGCAAGAGUAAGAAAUGCUCUGGCAUAUGCAACUCAUAAAUUUUUUCAAGACAGUGGAUUUAUUUGGGUAUCAAGCCCUAUUAUUACUGCCUCAGAUUGUGAAGGAGCGGGGGAGCAGUUCUAUGUCACUACUUUGCUUUCAAAUAGUGCUGAAGGAGGCUGCCUAGUCAACAGCAUUCCUUCGAAGGAUGGAAGGGUCGAUUGGUCACAGGAUUUCUUCUGCAAACCAGCAUUUCUGACGGUGUCUGGACAACUGAAUGGCGAAACAUAUGCUUCAGCUCUAUCUGAUAUUUACACAUUUGGUCCCACAUUUAGGGCUGAAAAUUCAAACACUUCAAGGCAUUUGGCUGAAUUUUGGAUGAUUGAGCCUGAACUUGCCUUUGCUGAUCUAAAUGAUGACAUGGCGUGUGCAAGUGCAUAUCUCCAGUAUGUAGUAAAGUAUAUUCUUGAGAACUGCAAAGAAGAUAUGGAUUUUUUUGAUACGUGGGUUGAGAAAGGGAUCAUAGAUAGACUAAAUAAUGUAGCUGAGAAAAACUCUGUUCAGAUGUCAUAUUCUGAUGCUAUCAAGCUACUUAUUGGGUCCAACAAGAAAUUCGAGUUCCCGGUGAAGUGGGGUUUGGAUCUGCAAAGUGAGCAUGAAAGAUAUAUCACAGAAGUCGCAUUUGGCGGCAGUCCUGUAAUAAUUAGAGAUUAUCCGAAGGAAAUCAAAGCUUUCUAUAUGCGACAAAAUGAUGACGGGAAAACAGUUGCGGCAAUGGAUCUAUUGGUUCCUCGGGUAGGUGAACUCAUUGGAGGAAGCCAAAGAGAAGAACGACUUGAUUACCUUGAAGCUCGGCUGGAUGAAUCAAAUCUUAACAAAGAUAGCUAUUGGUGGUAUUUGGAUUUGCGGCGAUAUGGAUCAGUUCCUCAUGCUGGUUUUGGCCUUGGAUUUGAACGGCUUGUACAGUUUGCAACCGGAAUAGACAACAUCAGAGACGCCAUUCCAUUUCCCAGGGUUCCUGGUUCUGCGGAGUUUUAG
rnacentral:rRNA from 1 species